UGAUGUUGGCCACAGAGUGCCCCCCUAAAGAGGCCUCAGAAGAAUGAAGUGUUGGGGCAGAGGUGGAUGACCCACCAGAGCCACCUAGAGAUAACAUUUCCGGAAAAGUCUUCAAGACCUGGCUUCUUACCAUGAUGUUUUCAAAAAGAGAUGUUAACAGGCUGUAUGAUGUUGGCCACAGAGUGCCCCCCUAAAGAGGCCUCAGAAGAAUGAAGGGUAAGAAGCUCCUCCAUGAAAUCAGAUGGCACAAAAUUAGAGGAAAAAGAGUCCUUGGCAUGAGGCUGCCACCAGGAGAAUUCUGAAGAUGCAGGGCAUGAAUGGUCAAUGCCUUUCGUUGUUGGGGCAGAGGUGGAUGACCCACCAGAGCCACCUAGAGAUAACAUUUCCGGAAAAGUCUUCAAGACGUAAACCAGGCAUUACCCAAGUCCCACUUCGCUGUUUGGAGCCCUUAACUUGGACCCCACCAACUACACUGCCUUGAAAGCCUGAAAUACUGCCUGGAAUAUUUGUUGUACCCAGGCUUUUCUACUCUCAGGAUCACAUAUGUCCUCAAAUCCGUCUUAUCUACAGUAUGUUUUUGCCUUACAUAAAUGCAGAUAUAAAACUUAAUAUAAAGGGGUUUCAUGCAAUUGUCAUUUUCAAUGCAUAUUUUCUUGUUGUAUAAAAGCUUUCCCAUGCAAGAAGGCUGAUGUUAUAACAGUAGAUUAUUAUGCUACAGUGUAUUUUCACUAGGUAAAGAAAGCUCUUUAUGGUUCACUGAGGACAAUCCCUUCACAAUCUAGAACCUGAUUGGAUCUUCUGAGAAUAUCAGAGAAAGACUGUCCUUGCCAUCCACACUACAGCAAAACUGGAGCCUUGAACUUUGGGGUCAUAAUCUCACAACUGAGAAGAGUUCCUCCACACUCCUGGAACUGUACCUCCAUUGGUACCCUUAAGGCAACAUGACCUACGACGCUUUGGAUCUCCAUGGCAAGCAUUGACACUGGCAAAAAUUAUCUAAUAAACACUUAUAUUGAAUGAGUAAACGUUAGAGAGACAUGGAAGCAAGUAUGAAAGACCUCGCCAGGACUUUAGAUGGACUGAACUGAUCAUAAAAGAAACUU
rnacentral:lncRNA from 1 species